GGCAUAGAGAAAGGAAUGUCAUAGUAAGCUAUUCAAACUUAAUCAGCAGUUAUGUAUUUCUAAAAGGGCUGGAAGGUAGAGAAAGUCAGAUUAGAAGAGUGAAGUGAUUCAAGAGGAAUCCCAUGUGAGAUCUGGUGGUGUAAACAGAUUACGCUAAGGGUAUAGUGGUUGAGAAUGUGUGAUGGUGAGACAUGAGGUAUAAUUAGGGGUAAGGGCUCUGCAGGGGAGUGUCAGGAUAUUAUCACUAAUCGUAAAAGACCCAGAAUGCAAGACAUGGGAUGAGUAGUGGGUAUUAGUAUCACCAGG